rnacentral:rRNA from 1 species
UACGUAGGGUGCGAGCGUUAAUCGGAAUUACUGGGCGUAAAGCGUGCGCAGGCGGUAUUAUAAGACAGUUGUGAAAUCCCCGGGCUCAACCUGGGAAUUGCAUCUGUGACUGUAUAGCUAGAGUACGGUAGAGGGGGAUGGAAUUCCGCGUGUAGCAGUGAAAUGCGUAGAUAUGCGGAGGAACACCGGUGGCGAAGGCGAUCCCCUGGACCUGUACUGACGCUCAUGCACGAAAGCGUGGGGAGCAAACAGG